AAAGAAUUGACGGAAGGGCACCACCAGGAGUGGAGCCUGCGACUUAAUUUGACUCAACAAGGGGAAACUUACCAGGUCCAGACAUAGUAACGAUUUGUCUGGUUAAUUCCGUUAAUGAACGAGACCUCAGCCUGCUAACUAGCUAUGCGGAGGAAUCCCUCCGCGGCCAGCUUCUUAGAGGGACUAUGGCCGCUUAGGCCAAGGAAGUUUGAGGCAA